rnacentral:tRNA from 1 species
UAACAAAUAGCUUAUAUAAAGCGUAGUGCUGAAGAUACUAAAAAGAAAAUUUUCUUUGUUAG